UAAGAAACGAUAUAGCUUCAACCAAUCAGAAAGCUGAUAUUCGAUUCGAUGCGCAUGCCCAUGACAUGGCGUCAGUUUGUUCUUGAAAAUCGUGGUAGCAGGUUGCAUUUCAUCGGCAGUUGAUUUUUUGAUUUAUUUGAUUUUUAUUUGUGUAAAUUAUUGUUUGAUGAGUUUAAAAGUGUGACCGUAAUAAUAAGAAGCCUUUUCAAGAAAUUAAUGGUUUGCGUUCAUGCCGUAUUCGAUAGAUUCCGAUUUAUCGAAUUAUCGAACAAAUUCUUUUCUCAAUUUCGAUAUAUUGAAAUCGCUACACGUUCGAGAUAUCAUUCUAUUCUCGAAAGUUGUGACACUUAGACGCCGUUUCGUUUCAGAUUAACAUCUAACUGAUGAAAUGACUUUCAAGGCGGGAAAAAGGGAUCAAAUAUGGACGCCAUAACGAACACUCCAACGAUGUUCAAUUUGAUAACUUUUCAUAAUGGAAUGGUAACGUUUAAUUUGAUUAUAUUAGAAACAAAUACAAUUAUUGUCUAUGUUUCUUAAGUAAUUCAUAA